AUUAUACCGCGAAACUGCGAAUGGCUCAUUAAAUCAGUUAUCGUUUAUUUGAUAGUACUUUACUACUUGGAUAACCGUGGUAAUUCUAGAGCUAAUACAUGCUAAAAAACCCGACUCACGGAGGGUUGUAUUUAUUAGAUUAAAAACCAAUGCCCUUCGGGGCUUCUUGGUGAUUCAUAAUAACUGGUCGAAUCGCAGGGCCUUGCGCCGGCGAUGGUUCAUUCAAAUUUCUGCCCUAUCAACUUUCGAUGGCAGGGUAUUGGCCUGCCAUGGUUACAACGGGUAACGGAGGGUUAGGGCUCGACCCCGGAGAAGGAGCCUGAGAAACGGCUACUACAUCCAAGGAAGGCAGCAGGCGCGCAAAUUACCCAAUCCCGACACGGGGAGGUAGUGACAAUAAAUACUGAUACAGGGCUCUUUGGGGUCUUGUAAUCGGAAUGAGUACAAUUUAAAUCCCUUAACGAGGAACAAUUGGAGGGCAAGUCUGGUGCCAGCAGCCGCGGUAAUUCCAGCUCCAAUAGCGUAUAUUAAAGUUGUUGCAGUUAAAAAGCUCGUAGUUGAACCUUGGGCCUGGCUGGCCGGUCCGCCUCACCGCGUGCACUGGUUCGGCCGGGCCUUUCCCUCUGGGGAACCCCAUGCCCUUCACUGGGUGUGGUGGGGAACCAGGACUUUUACUGUGAAAAAAUUAGAGUGUUCAAAGCAGGCCUAUGCUCGAAUACAUUAGCAUGGAAUAAUAGAAUAGGACGUGUGGUUCUAUUUUGUUGGUUUCUAGGACCGCCGUAAUGAUUAAUAGGGACAGUCGGGGGCAUCAGUAUUCAAUUGUCAGAGGUGAAAUUCUUGGAUUUAUUGAAGACUAACUACUGCGAAAGCAUUUGCCAAGGAUGUUUUCAUUAAUCAGGAACGAAAGUUAGGGGAUCGAAAACGAUCAGAUACCGUUGUAGUCUUAACCAUAAACUAUGCCGACUAGGGAUCGGAUGAUGUUAUUUUUUGACUCAUUCGGCACCUUACGAGAAAUCAAAGUCUUUGGGUCUGGGGG
rnacentral:rRNA from 1 species